UGCAGCACUCUUAAGGUGUAGGAAAUGAGGGAAAACCAACCUGCUGCCCACAUUCCCAGCCUUCCCUGUGCUGCAGCACUGGCUCCUCAGCCUUGCAGCCAGAAUUACUGGCAGGUAAAUGUGCCACAGCCCUGGCUGAUAUCAAUAGGGGCUGUAGGGAAGGAGUAAGGAUGAACUCUCACUGCAAAGGGCACAGACUGGAGGUUUAGAAGGAGUACUGUGACACAAAUAUCCUCAGCCGGAUGACAGAGCUGCCUCUGAAGUUGAUGACGGUGUUUACAGUGAUCAUUUCCAAGUCCAGCUCGAUCGUGCGCGGCCCCUUCACGGGCCGGGUCAUCACCAGGGUGGCACUGAUGGGUCCUGUUUGCUGUGCAGGAAACAAGAGAAAGCAGUGGGAAUCUGAGGCUCUUGUGAGAAAUAUGUCCUGGAAUCUAUCCCACUACCCCUGUCCAUGAGGGAUGGGAACCUUCAGUAGCCACAGAACAGGACUUAAUGUGAAUGUCAGAGCCAGGUUUUGCCUGGAGCUGAAA